CAGUAUUGAAUUAUGAUCAUAUUGGAUAUUGUGAUCGAAAAAAAUAGAAGGGUGUAUGAGGAAAAAUAGGAUUGGGAAGUAAUGUGAUUCUGAGUAAGGUAGAGAUUGUUGCGAAAAUUGAGGAGAGAAAAGUAGGUAGUGAAAACUAAUAUUAUAAAGAGAAUAAAGGUACACUUACUACUUCAAGGAGAUGUUAAUUCUAGAAAUUAUUCCGGUCUCAAGUGGCGAUGACGUUGGAAUUGAGUAGAAAUCAAAAAUAGAGAGAUAUUGGAUGCGAAAAUUGCCCCAGUUUGAUAAUAAGAACUUGUUGUGAUAUUUUGCAUCUUGUACUUGCAAACUUCAAGUAUUUCUACAAAAGAUAAUUAGUAUGUAAGCACAUGUAAGCAUUAAUAUGAUGAAUGUAAUCUACUAAAAAUGUUUAAAUAUGAUGCAAAUUCCCUUUAGAUCAUGAAAGUUGUCCUAGGACGAUGAGGAUGAUGUCCUUAGACCAUGACGUCCUGGGCUAUGAAGCGUAUGAUAAUGUAUUCGCAGGCCAUGAAAUGAUGUCCUCGGGCCAUGAGGAUGGUGCCUCUAGACUAUGAUGCCUUUGAAUAAUGAUGUGCAGUUUCGAGAGAUCCUCAGGCCAUGACAUGGUGUCUUUUGGCUAUGAUGAUGAUGUCUUUAGACAAUAACGCCUUUGGACAAGUUGGCGAUGUUUUAGCCCAUGAGAUGCAAUAAUAUGAUGUUAACAAGACAAGUCUUAGUCUUGUGAAAUGAAGGGCAGAGCUUAGCCCAAUCGAAAAUCAAAUAGAUAGUACCGGAAUAGAGCAAUAUAUGUGCAAGGAGGGACAAUGCUUAGUCCCAUGCGAAUAUGGAGGCAGAGAUUAGCUUCAUGCAGAUAUAGAGGCAAGUAUUAGCCUCAUGCGAGUAUGGAGGCAGAGAUUAGCCUCAUGCACGUACGGAGGCACGGAUUAGCCUCAUGCAAAUAUGGAGGCAGGGAUUAGNNNNNNNNNNNNNNNNNNGACUGAAUUGAAUAGAGGAUAGCAGCAAUUGAAGGGUAAAACAUCUCAUUUUGAAAAAGUUAUACCCAUAUGAGCAAAAUUGAGAUGCAACAUCAUUUGAAAAUGAAAUUGUGUCAUUAAACUGAUGAUAAUGAUGGUCAGUCAUGUUAUGUAAUCAAUGGAUGAAAUACUUCCGUUAGGCAAAAUCAGAGAUUAUGCCCCUGGGACGGAAAGAUAGUUUGUUCAUACCCAAGAUUCAAAUGAUUUGAGUCUAAGGAUAGAAGUCUAAAAAAUGCCCAAAAAUUGAUUGUUUUAGGCAUGGAGUGAUUUUGAAAGAAUAUGUCAUGAGUACUUUGAAAUAAAUAGCAAACAAAUAAAUAGAGACAUGCAAGAGGGAAUAUAGAUACACAUAAUAAUGUGCAAAUAAGCCUUUAUGGGGAUGGCAAAAGAGAUAAGGUUGAUUUAGCCCUACCACUCCUAAAUUUAAAAAUUUAAGACAACAGUCAACAUAUUAACACAUCUUUCUCCAAGUAAUGCACAUAAGGUGAUUGUGUCCAUUGGGUUUAUGGAAAUUCCGCCGGACUUUGGACAAGGCUUGUCUUAGCGAGUUAUUGCAUGGGUAGCGUUCUAAGUCAUACUAGGUUUAGACAUGAUGCAUGCAAUGUCGAUUUUAGAAUGGGGUUUCUAGAAGAGUCUAGACUGGUACCCUCAAGCGGACAACUUGGGAGAGAAAGGCGCGGAACCAUCGAAUGCACCGCUGAUCGACUCAUUUUACUGCAAAUAAGCCUUUCCAAAUUCAAAGGGUGAUUUUGGAAAGAGCGCAGACACUCACAAGUGCUGCUAUGUUGAUAUUUGGCACGAGUGGAACAUGAGUUGAAAACAUGCUUAUGCAAAAGUGAUAACAUAUAGUCAAGUAAUUCACAUGGUGAAGACAUAUAAAGGCAGUAUUAAAUAAUACGAUAAAAUAAGCAAAAGAGAAAGGGGAAAAAAUACAAAGGAAAUAGGUUAGCAUUGUUCACAAAAAAUUCAAAACAUAAUUAAAUGAAACGAAUAAAGGAGACAGGGAAGGGAGGUUCAUGAUAUAACAACUUUGAGCAAAUAAAGGAACGGGAAGGGGAGGUACCUGGAAGCGGUCAUGUAAAGCAACUUAAUGAAUUAGAAAUCCCACAUAAGCUGAAUCCGUUAUGGUAAGAACCUAAGUAUCCUCAACAGAGUUGCCAUGCUGUCACGCCCCAUUUUUCUCACGAAGACGGGUUUAGACAUGUGACAACUCUUUUAAAAUGGUAUAAAAAGAGAAGAGUCGUCACCUAACGAUUGUAAGGUGCGUUAUGGUACCUAUUUACAAAUAACUCUGUUUGACUAGUCAACGUCACCAAAGAUCGAGUAAUGGCUCAAAUUACCUUAAAGAGAAGGUGUUAGGCACUCUUCGAAGUCCACAACUGUGGGUCCUGGUCGAAAUUUAUGCUAUGUGGGAUUAUUGGAUUACUAAUCUAAAGUUAGACUAGUUUGUUAUUACUAGGCGAUGAAAUAUGCAAACAAUUAGAGAUGUAAAAAUAAUAAUUACUUAAACAGUCAAGCGCAUAAGGAAAGAAUUGAUAGCCUAAAGGAACUAAUUAUGUAAAGGGGGACCUAAAUUUUUAAGCCUAAUGGAUCAACUCCCGUGCAAAGCCUGCUAAGACUUUUAUAGCCAAAAGUGCAACGGCUAUUCGGACAAUUUUUGUAUCAUGUCCAACUACCCUCAUUACUAUCUUCGAGUUAUUAACCUAAGAACGUACUAGUUAAUUCUAAAGCGCGUCUUAAUUUAAAACUACCCGUCCCUUCUUAUAGUCCAGAAAACUUUGGACACUAUUCUAAAAUGAUGGUUCUAGACAUAAAGAAAAUCUCAAGUUUCUAUUUACAUUCCUAUUAGCGUCACAUAAAAGGGAGCACAUCGGGACUUAAACAAAUAACACAGAAGGCAUGUAAGGGCUCAUGUUAGCCUCCAAAUUAAUUAAAUUGAGAGAUGAUAAUUGAAGUAGUGAAAUGAACUCUUAUAAUAUAAUAAAUUUCUUGAAUUGGUACUACACAACUCAAGUAUAAGCAUACUAGAAUAAACAUAAUUAUAAAAUUAGUAAAAAUAUCGAGUAGAAGACAAAGUAGUUUUGAUUAAAGUAUAAAGCUACGUACUCUUUUGUGUAAAGGUAGAUAAGAAAGAGAAAUUGAAAUAAGAUACCUGAUUUGAAAUUCGUAUGCCAGAAAACUUAUUUGUAUACAAAGAUUGUUACUAGCCCCCAAGCCUUUAAUAAAUAAAUAAUUAAAUAAAAAUAUUAUAGGAAGACUAUACUUACUUAACAGGUCUUGUUUCCCUGAAAUAAAUCAAAGGUACUUUUUGUAAAACUAGUAUGACGUCAGGUUUAAAACAAUUAGCAAUCUCCACUGUUAAAAGGAAAUUGAGUGCAUUAAAAAUUAUUAUUAUUAUUAGCAGAAUAACAGAAACAGAAAAGCACGUCUCCCUGUUACGUAAAUUCUAUAAGCAUGGUAAUAAUAUUGAAAAUGAAAGCAUGACUUCAAUGAUUAGUAAAAAUAGAAACAAACCACAAUAGCAAAUAGCACAUAGCAGCAACAAGUGACAAACAAGUUUCAGCCCCAAUCAUCCCUUUUACACAAGUACAGAUUAUUUGUAGCAUUAUAAGGCCAACAUUACAACACAAGCUAAACUAAUGAGCUUCAGGCGCAAAGUAAAUUCCAACACAAUAAUUCUUAAACCUUCCCCUUCCCAGGCGACUCCAAUUCAUUCCUCAAUGCUCGAAUUAGAUCAUCCUAUAACAUCAUAGCCCAACCAGAACACAUAUGCAGCGCACAUGGAGAUCGAAUUAUCACAAAAAUAGAUUUAACUCGUUACUUCCAAAUAAUAUGACUUCAAGUAUUUGGUUCAAACUAUUUGCAAUUUAGUCAUGUAAAGAUAAAGAACAUGCUGAGAAAUACAACUCGCUAGCCUUUAACACCAACGAAGUUGUUGACUUCUCUUACUAUUAGUUCCUAAAUAGAGCACCUAGUGUUCAAAUCAAAUAAAUAAUUACUCAAACAAAAUAAAGUACAAGCAUUAUGGGAUAGCAAGUUAUCUAGAUGCUUUAUCCAUAGACUGAAUAUCUAGAUGAAUUAAAAUCCUAAGGACAUGGUAUUCGUAUUUGAGAACAUCAUGGCAGUAAUGUUAUAGCCAACAAAUCAAACAAAUAUAACUCUUAGCUUCCGACAUACUAUCCACAACUGGACAAGCAGUAUAUUAGGCCAGUUAAUCCUAAACAUGGUGUCUAAGUGACAAAACAAGUGCACUGAUUUAGGCAAGGUAGUUUUAACCACAUAAGACCGCCAAAUAACCUUAAGGUUUAAGGAAUGAAGUUUGAACAAUCCACUGCCACUUUUUAUUAACUAAGAAAUACUCGCUGAAAUUAUACCUAUGCAACAUGAAUUCAGUUAUAUUCAAAGAAUGAAGAUCAUGGAACUUACAAAUAUCAUUCGAAAUCUUUUAGGUAGUAUUUCUAAACUAAAUCAUUGAACAUAGCAAAUAAGUUGGUGCUACUCUUGUUUAUGCAAUCUUUAGUCCUAAAUAAAAGAAAUGAUUGCGUAGUUACUAGGGUCCCAAAACAAAUCCUAAAGACAUUUAUGGCCAGGUCGUCUCAUAUUCAAAAACUCACACAUAAAAUCAAAAGAUCAAAAACACACCUGAAUUUAAGAGAUGUACCUGGUUAUUAUAUUGGCAUAAUUUCAAUAGAGUGCCGUAUGGCACUCGAUAUCUCAGCAUGGCCAAGAGUGUACCGAAUACAAAACUAAAGAGAAGGACUACUCUAUUCUAACAACAACUAACAUGUAAAGGAAUCAUAAUGCGUCGUUCAGGAAACUAACUGGUUUAUGGUGUAUCAAAUUCAUAAGAAAACUAGAAAUCCAAAUAAUGAUUCACGGACAGAGCUUCAACAGCAGUAAAUAUGCCAAACAAACUCCAGAAAUACGCAGUGAUUGCAAUGAGAAAACUCGAAUAAUAGCGACAAGAAACCAAUACUCAAAUCUCGACGCUCCGAGAUCACAAAAACAUCUAAGAAUUUCGAGCAACACUCGUAUCGAGUGAAAUAAAAUAAAACAAAUUUUGCUUUGGCUUGCAAUAAGCAAAGAAGUAGCCGAAGAGCAGUGAAUGAAGAGUAUAUCACAGUAAAAAAAAGUUAUGGAAGUGAUGAGGAGCAAUGAUCAAAAGUCCUCCUCCCCUCCUUUUUUUGCCUUAACAGUAGUAGUAUUUAUAGCUAAAAAUUACUAAUGCUCUAAGUAAAAAGGAUAUAAAUUAAGGCUAACAAUUAGUACUUGACAGAAUCAAUUAGCAGAAAUCAGAGGCCACAACUUUGGAAAAAAAUUGAUUCUUUCUAUAUAUAAAAAGUAUAUGAAUAUUUAUGAAAUUCAACUACAAUAUAAUUAGAGCAAUAAUAAAUUAUGUCAAGAAGGAAAGAAGCUUACGGGAUUGAGUUUCUCUAAAAAUUAUUAUAUCAAAUCAGAGAAAGCGGAACCCGCGAUAAAUUCAAAAUCUUUACCUAUUUGGGGACUCCUAUGAACUUGGACAGAUUAUUCAAUGAAAUUCGUACCCAAAUCUUCCACCAAAAUUUUUUCUUUACAAGAAGAGAUAUAAUUUCUGAUUUUGCGUGAUUUGUGAAGAAACUAUGCUAUGAUAUUUGGUAAUAAAGUAGUAAAAUAAUUAAGGAAUAACUAAAUAGAAAAAGGAAGGAAAGUAAGAGAAUAAAUAUGAUAAUGGACUAAAGAAGGGAAAAAUGGAUGUUUGUUGCUGGCGAGAAAGGUAUAAGAUCGGAGAAUUGGUUUGGGG
rnacentral:lncRNA from 1 species